GACGAACGCUGGCGGCGUGCUUAACACAUGCAAGUCGAACGGAAAGGCCUGCUUUCCCUUGUGGAUUGCGGGUACUCGAGUGGCGAACGGGUGAGUAACACGUGAGUGAUCUGCCCCCAACUUGGGUAUAAGCCUGGGAAACUGGGUCUAAUUCCCGAUAGGACUGCAGGGUGGUGCCUGUGGUGGAAAACGAUUUUCUAGUGGCUGGGGAUGAGCUCGCGGCCUAUCAGCUUGUUGGUGGGGUAAUGGCCUACCAAGGCGGCGACGGGUAGCCGGCCUGAGAGGGUGGACGGCCACAUUGGGACUGAGAUACGGCCCAGACUCCUACGGGAGGCAGCAGUGGGGAAUAGUGCACAAUGGGCGGAAGCCUGAUGCAGCGACGCCGCGUGGGGGAUGACGGCCUUCGGGUUGUAAACUCCUUUCGACCGCGAGGAAGCCACCUGGUUGGAAGGGUGGUGACGGUAGUGGUAGAAGAAGCACCGGCUAACUACGUG
rnacentral:rRNA from 1 species